UGCAAAUUGAGGAGUCGGUUUGUGCAAGUUAAGGAGUCGAUUAAGCGUGCCCGGGAAGGCGUUUUGUUUGUUUGCGUGGCCAAUAUCGGGGUAUGGAGUGGCGUUUUUUUCAACUU
rnacentral:sRNA from 1 species